rnacentral:tRNA from 1 species
GCGGGCGUAGCUCAGUUGGUAGAGCGUCAGCCUUCCAAGCUGAGGGUCGCGGGUUCGAGCCCCGUCGCCCGCU